UGGGAGCCUCUACUAGUAGAGCUCUAGAGCAUAUUGGGGAGUUCUUAAAUUUACCAACCACUGCUAUGUAUAUAUCAGUGGAACCUGAUGCCACUAUUGAUAUUCUUCCCGCUGAUAAUACAGCAUCACUGUCAGAGGUUUAUGAUACAAAUGCUUAAGGCGAUGUAGGUAUUUUCUCACCUUUGUUUUAAUAGUUUAAUAAGUUUGCAUUAAGG
rnacentral:lncRNA from 1 species